AAACCAAUGGUUUUUAUCAGACCUUCUGGUAUGAUGGGGCAUACCCUAAGUUCUAGGACUUGGGAGCAGGACAGGUGAAUCUCUGUGAAUUCCCAGUCAGUCUGGUCUAUAAUAGUGAGUUCUAGGCCAGCCAGGGAAUACUGGGAGACCCUGUCUGUGUGGUUUGUAUUUGCUUGGCCUAUGGGAAGUGGUACUAUUAGGGGGUGUGGCCUUGCUGGAGGAAGUGUGUCACUGUGUAAGUGGGCUUUGAGGGGUUCUUCUAUGCUCAGGCUCUGUCCAAUUUGGAUGAUACUGGCCUUUGGCUGCCUGAAAAGGACAGUUUUCUCUUGGCUGCCUUCUGAUCAAGAUGUAGAACUCUUGGCUCCUCUAGCACACAUCUGCCUGCACACUGCCAUAAUGGACUGAUCCUCUAAAACGCUAAGCCAACCCCAAUCAAAUGUUGUCUUUAUAAAAGUUAUCUUGGUCAUGGUGUGUCUUCACAGCAGUAAAAUCCUAAUUAAGGCAUCAUCUAAAAGAAUAGCUUUUAACCAUUUCUUCUGUAAAAUCACCAAUUAUGUCACUAUUAAAAUGGCAUUUUGGUGUUCUAGUAACAGGAGUCAGUCAGAGACCCAAGGAUUUAAAAAUGUGAUCAGUGUAAAGAUUCUGAAGUUAAAAGCACAAUUCCAUUUACAUUAGUACCUGCAGUGAAACACUUAGGUAUAGAUAUAUGAAGAUUUACAUAAUAUCUGUAUGAGGAAAACUGAUAAACACUAUCAGAGAACCAAAUAAGUGCAGAGAUUUCCCCAUGGUCACAGGUAGAUUUAAUAUUGUCAACUCUUAAGUUCUUUCUAAACGCAAACCUUAACAGACACUAUAGCAUGUAGAUCUACACAUGGAAGCAAACAUGAAGAAAUAAUACACAUGUAUCAUUAGAAACUGAACAGAGUGGUUCCGUGUGCUUUCUUCAGCACUGCGAAUGUUGGGCCACUGGAACAGCCGGAACUUCACAUGCUGGGAGAUUUUGAAGUAAAAAUCACUUUAGUAGGAAGUUUGGCAGCUUGCAGCGAAGUGAAAUACACUUUUGCAUAAUCUAGCAGUUGUGUUUCUUGAUCAAGUUGGGAAUUUACCACUACACAGCACCCUGCAUAUUGAUGCUUUCUGCAGCUUUCCUCACACUGGACAGAGAUGGAAACAACCAGGAUGCUAUUCUGUAGGUAAGUGAAACAAACCACGAUACACCCAGAUAAUAGAAUAUUAUUAAACACUACAGGAAACAGGCUGUUGAGGGGCUGAAGAGAUGGCUCAGUGGUUAAGAGCACUUGUUGUUCUCCCAGAGAACCCAGGUUUCUAGCAUCCACACUGUAGCUUAGAACCAUCAGUAAUACUGGUCCCAAGGAAUCUGAUGUCCUCUUUUGGCCUCCAUGUGGCAUAUGGUGUACACAUCCAUGAGGAGAUGAUGCACAUGUAUCAUUAGAAACACAUACAAUGGUCACUUCUUCAUAAAGCUAUACAAAACAUUUUGUUUUCAAAACAUUUUUCUUCUAAAUAUUAAGAAUUAAGGUGGACAAGCAAGCCAAGACCCCUCAGUGAAGGAGAGUCUUCAACAGAUGCAACAUACAGUGCUGGGACAACUAGAUUGCCACAGUGAAAGGAGCAGAGUCAGACCCCUACCUCGUACUGCAUUCAGUGAACUCAGAUGCGUCAAAGGCAAAUUCAGGACGUAAAGCUAUAAAAACCUUAGCAAAGAAUGAGUUUAUACAUUGGUGACUUUGGACCAAGCAAUGCUUUUAAAGAUAUGGAGUUGAAAGCCUAAGCAAGAUUAAAAUAGAUAGUGCCUAUGUCAUAAAGCCAAGAACUUUUGUGCAUCAAAGAACAUCAUUAAGAGAGU
rnacentral:lncRNA from 1 species